GAUGAACGCUAGCUACAGGCUUAACACAUGCAAGUCGAAGGCCCGGCGCACGGGUGAGUAACACGUAUCCACCCUGCCCUUUCCUCGGGGAUAGCCUUUCGAAAGAAAUAUUACUACCCGAUUUAACCGAUGGGGAUGCGUUCCAUUAGGUUGUUGGUGAGGUAACGGCUAACCAAGCCUUCGAUGGAUAGGGGUUCUGAGAGGAAGGUCCCCCACAUGGGAACUGAGGAACGGGCCAAACUGGUAAGGGAGGCAGCAGUGAGGAAGAUUGGUCAAUGGGCGUUAGCCUGAACCAGCCAAGUAGAGUGAAGGAGGAAGGCUUAGGGGGCGUAAACUGCUUGUAUAUAAGAAGAUGUAUUAGAUGAAUAAGGAUCGGCUAACUCCGUGCCAGCAGCCGCGGUAAUAC
rnacentral:rRNA from 1 species